AAAUUGUGUUCCAUUUCACAAUGUCCAAUCCCCUUCUGGGUGGUAGGAAAGAUCAGAAACACCAAGCUCCAAACAGGACAAAGACCGACUUCGCCAAGGAGAGUGGAUUCAUAUAUAUUAUACUGUUCUAAGCAGCAGCGCAGCAAACACUAAAAUUGGCUAAAAUAUUUUUUUUUUUUGGGUAAAAUAGAGGUAGCAUAAGCUUUACUAAUCGGUGAGAAAGCUACAAAGAACAAAGUACGAUAUGUACAGAUCCUUAUAGAAUGUGGUAAUUACAACAAAAAUAGUGUAACCCCAUUGUAUUGAAAAGAACAGAAAGAACCAACUGUAACCCCCAAAAAUACAAAUGCUGAACCUCAAAACUAUAUAUAAAAGGCACAUUAGAUUAAAAGAGCAGUUAUAUACAACCAUAGAAAAGAAUAUGAAGAGAGAUAGUAGUACUCCAACAGUAGAAUGAAGCAUUCAAGACCGGAUGAAACUGAGAAGAAUAUAUGCCCUGAAACAUGACCGUAAGAGAAGUAAUUGAAGCACCUUCCAGAAUAAGUAUAGCAGCAAUGCACAGAGCCAGCCGUAGUAAAGAGAGGAAAGUCUCAAAUUAACAUGCC
rnacentral:lncRNA from 1 species